GGAGGAGAGCACAGGGAUUGCCCUAGUAACGGCGAGUGAAGCGGCAACAGCUCAAAUUUGAAAUCUGGCCCUCGGGUCCGAGUUGUAAUUUGUAGAGGAUGCUUUUGGUGAGGUACCUUCCGAGUUCCCUGGAACGGGACGCCAUAGAGGGUGAGAGCCCCGUCUGGUCGGAUACCAAUCCUCUGUAAAGCUCCUUCGACGAGUCGAGUAGUUUGGGAAUGCUGCUCUAAAUGGGAGGUAUAUGUCUUCUAAAGCUAAAUAUUGGCCAGAGACCGAUAGCGCACAAGUAGAGUGAUCGAAAGAUGAAAAGCACUUUGAAAAGAGGGUUAAACAGUACGUGAAAUUGUUGAAAGGGAAGCGCUUGUGACCAGACUUGGGCCCGGUUAAUCAUCCAGCGUUCUCGCUGGUGCACUUGGCCGGCCCAGGCCAGCAUCAGUUCGGUGUGGGGGAUAAAGGCGGCGGGAAUGUGGCUCCUCCGGGAGUGUUAUAGCCCACCGUGUAAUACCCUGUGCUGGACUGAGGUUCGCGCAUUCGCAAGGAUGCUGGCGUAAUGGUCAUUAGCGACCCGUCUUGAAACACGGACCAAGGAGUCGUCUUCGUAUGCGAGUGUUCGGGUGUUAAACCCCUACGCGUAAUGAAAGUGAACGCAGGUGAGAGCUUCGGCGCAUCAUCGACCGAUCCUGAUGUUCUCGGAUGGAUUUGAGUAAGAGCAUACGGGGCCGGACCCGAAAGAAGGUGAACUAUGCCUGUAUAGGGUGAAGCCAGAGGAAACUCUGGUGGAGGCUCGCAGCGGUUCUGACGUGCAAAUCGAUCGUCAAAUAUGGGCAUGGGGGCGAAAGACUAAUCGAACCUUCUAGUAGCUGGUUCCGCAAUUUUUCUCUCUCU
rnacentral:rRNA from 1 species